ACCCCAUGAUAUAAGCCGGCAGAACAAAUAUUUUUCUAGUUUUUUCUGUGACUAUGAUUGGGAACAUAAAAUCUAUUCCGAAGUGUGUAUAUUUUAGAGCGUUACACCUGCUUUGAAAUAAAGAUUUAUUCAGAAAAUA